rnacentral:rRNA from 1 species
UACGGGGGGGGCAAGCGUUGUUCGGAAUUACUGGGCGUAAAGGGCUCGUAGGCGGCCAACUAAGUCAUACGUGAAAUCCCUCGGCUUAACCGGGGAACUGCGUCUGAUACUGGAUGGCUUGAGUUCGGGAGAGGGAUGCGGAAUUCCAGGUGUAGCGGUGUAAUGCGUAGAUAUCUGGAGGAACACCGGUGGCGAAGGCGGCAUCCUGGACCGAUACUGACGCUGAGGAGCGAAAGCCAGGGGAGCAAACGGG